UACGGAGGGGGCAAGCGUUGUUCGGAAUUACUGGGCGUAAAGGGCGCGUAGGCGGCCAGCGCAAGUCAGUUGUGAAAUCUCCGGGCUUAACUCGGAACGGUCAACUGAUACUGCGCGGCUAGAGUGCAGAAGGGGCAACUGGAAUUCUCGGUGUAGCGGUGAAAUGCGUAGAUAUCGAGAGGAACACCUGCGGCGAAGGCGGGUUGCUGGGCUGACACUGACGCUGAUGCGCGAAAGCCAGGGGAGCGAACGGG
rnacentral:rRNA from 1 species